rnacentral:rRNA from 1 species
CCUACGGGCGGCAGCAGUGAGGAAUAUUGGUCAAUGGCCGGAAGGCUGAACCAGCCAUGCCGCGUGAAGGUCAGUGCCCUAUGGGCGUUAAACUUCUUUUGUGCGGGAGCAAUAAUGGUCACGUGUGGCCAGACGAGAGUACCGUACGAAUAAGCAUCGGCUAACUCCGUGCCAGCAGCCCCGGGAAUACGGGGGAUGCAAGCGUUAUCCGGAUUUUUUGGGUUUAAAGGGGUCGGAGGCUGUGAGGUAAGUCAGCGGGGAAAAGCCCCCGCUCAAAGGGGUGAAGUGCCAUUGAUACUGCCUUGCUGGAAUGCGGAUGCCGUAGGAGGAAUGUGUGGUGUAGCGGUGAAAUGCAUAGAUAUCACACAGAACACCGAUUGCGAAGGCAUCUCACGAAUCCGCGAUUGACGCUGAUGCACGAAAGCGUGGGUAUCAAACAGGAUUAGAUACCCGAGUAGUC